UCCUCUCGGAAUCCCCAGAUACAAAUCUCCGCUGCUGCACUAGCGCCUCCACGGUGGCUGAACUCGAACAACACCCUUCCCAGCCGCACCACCGCACAUCCUUCCUCUCAUGCCGCCAGCCAGCCGUACCCAUCUCCCUCCAUCCUCCCGUUCCGACGCCUCCCUGCCGUGCCAACCUACCCCUCAACCGGCCGCGCCCCCUACACUCCCACCGCGCGGCCGCAUGGUCCUCUUCUCCGACCGGAUCAUGUCGAGAUCCGUGAGUCCACGGGAACCGUGGGCGAAUCACGCGCGGCCACGGCCGUCCUACCUCCCUACAUGCUUACUGCAAACACCACCAUCCCCUUUCCUCACCUCUAGCCUCCCCUACCCCUUUCUCUCCCCAACGGCCAGAUCCAGCCCCUAAAGCCUGAUCUAGUGCAUGCAGCAAGGGUCUCGUUGAUGCAGGUCGUUGCCAUGUCGCCGCAGGGAGCCGGCGACCCUGUCGUUGGCGUGCCCAACCGCGGGGCUGCACAGAGCUGCUAUUGGGCCAUGUCGCCGGGGGCUGCGCUGUGCUGUGGCCCUGCCGCCCCUUCGGGGCCCGCAUCCGUCACCUACGUCGUCCUCACCGUCAGCUUCUCCGUUGACCACGACGGUCUAUGAGCCCCUCUCCUCACCAGGCAAUGUGGAGCAUGAGUUGAUGCGACUUGGUGGAUAAGGUUCUAUCUUCGAUGAAGCCGGUGGGGAUGGCUGGAUCUGUGUCCAGAAAUGCAUGAGAAUGACCCCCGGUGGUCGUACGGCGAGCGCUGAGCCGGGCGGCGGUGGCUGCAGAGUUUUUCCUUUUUUAUCAUGUCUGUGGCUACAAAAUUAACAUAGGGUGUUGGUAGUUUUUAGUUUCUUUUGUUUUUCUUAUAUUUGACCGAUGUAUUGUUUGGAAAUGCCUGUAAUUUCAAGUUUUCUGUGUAGCUUUUUUCUGUUA